AUAAUAUAAUUGAAGAUAAUAAUAUUAUUUAUAUUUAAAUAUAUUUAAUUAUUGUACUAAUUACUCUUUUGUUUAGUUUAUAUUUAAGGGAUUUAUUUUAUAGAUAGAUAGAUAGAUACUACACUGUACUUAUAGAUUUUUUAUACUUUUCAUAUUGUACUUUUUUUUUCUAAAAAUACUAUUCAACUGUCUUUUUUUAUUGUCCAUCCCUACACUAUAAAUAAUAAAUCUAUAACUUUGAGCGAAAACUAUUAAAAACUAUUAAUUAAAAGUUGCAGAGUAAUUAAUAUUCAACUUAUUUUCAAACAAAAAAUAUAUAAAAUAUAUAAAAUAAUAAAAGAAUAAUUAAAAAUAACUUUAUAGAAGAUUUGAGUGGAUCUAUCGUAAAUAUUUGUUCUAUAUUUUUUUCCUAUUUAGACGACACCUCCUAAUAAAGUUGUUAGAUUUUAUUUAAAAUAACAAAUUUAUUAACGGUUAUAUAGAGUUUGGUAAAAGAAUAAGUGAUAUUUAUGAGAAAAAAUACAAGAUAAAAAAUAAAUUUAAAAUACAAUAUAAAAAUUGGUAAAUAUAAUAAUACAAUAAUAUCGUUGAAAAAUAUUAAUAUAAUAUAUUAAAUAAAAAUAAUAUUAAAUUACAGUGCAAUGAGGCGUAAUUAAGCCUAGACUCUUUUUUACAUAGUUCUUGGGAACAAGGAUGAGAUUCAUUGAACUAAUUUGAUGUUAGUAAUAUAUAAAUUAAAUAAAUUAUAUAAAUAUAAAAUAUAUGUAUUUAAUAUAUUAUCGAGCUGAACACGAACAAACUGAUUCUAACUCGUGUUUGAGCUCAUAUAUUCUGCUUGUUUGUUAAGAAAUUUUCAUUCAGGGUUAAAGUGGGGUUAAAGUUUUUUUGUGUUUGGUUGGGGGUUGGAUUUAGUCCAGAAUAAUAAAAAAUAGUGUUUGGUUGGGUAGGUGGGAUAAGAAGAUAAUGAUUGAUAAAGAAGAAUAAUGAUUGGUUGGAGUAGGUGUGAUAAGAAAGAUAAUGGGUUAUUAUGAAUAAAAAAUAGUGUUUGUUUGGAGUUUGGUGGGGUUAGGUGGGGUUAGCUAACCCGAAAUAAUUUAUUUGAGGUCGGAUUAGGUGGGAUUAGGUAAUCCCACCUAUUUUUUAAGGUGUUUGGGAAUAAAAUGGGGGUUAAGGGGUUAUUCCACCCUUUAACCCCCAACUAAACCAGGGCUAAGAAAUUUUCAUUCUGUUCGCCUAGUGCACAAAACGAGCUUAUUUCGAGCCGAAGAAGCAGUGGCUCGCCGUCAGCUUGAUUGCCACCCUAUCCGCCAUCUUCCGUCCGCCCGCUCACUCUCUCUCCUCAUCUGUCCCCAUAACUCGGAGAAAGAAAGAGAGAAGAGAGAGAGUGAGGAAGGAGAUGAGGCGACGGGCGGCGGCGGCGGCGCUUCCUCUCGCCCUCGCGAUUGCGGCGGCGGCGGCGAUCCCGACGNAAAGAAAGAGAGAAGAGAGAGAGUGAGGAAGGAGAUGAGGCGACGGGCGGCGGCGGCGGCGCUUCCUCUCGCCCUCGCGAUUGCGGCGGCGGCGGCGGUCCCUUCGAGCCGGUGACGUCGCCGAUCGACGGCUCCGGGUUCCGCGGCCUCGCCGUCGACCUGCCGGAUUCGGACCCCAGAAUUCGCCGCCGGGCGCGCGGGUUCGAGCCCGAGCAGAUAUCCGUCUCCCUCUCCGCGUCCCCAGAUUCCGUCUGGAUCUCUUGGGUCACCGGUCAAAUCUAAUCUCUUCCCACAUACCCCCCUCCUCCUAAGUAGGUUUCCUUGUGAAAUUGAUUGUAGUGAGAAGGGGCAAAUGCAUGGAACUUUUGAUAUUUGUCCUGCACAGAUUGUGUCGUCAUGUAGUGUUUGACUGAAUACUUCUCAGGUGAUUAGAUGGAUUGAACACUAAAUUGGUCGACAAGGAGCAUUUGCAUAAUAAUUAGUUCGUUAGUGUCCCUUUCACCUGAGCCGAACCAAACCUGCUCUUUAUUAUCAUCGGACGACAACGAGUUAUUUGCAUGUAAAAGUACAUGGUUUAAACAUAGGUUAUGCACUACGAUUUCAAGGUAAAUUUUACAGGUUUUUUCUUUCUUUGGAAAGCUAUUUAUCGUUUUAGAAUACUCAUAGAAACUCAUUCGUACCCGAGCCCUUCAUGAUUUCAUGGAUAAUAAUACUGUAGGCUCACAAGAUAGUUGUAAAGUUGUUUUUACAGGGAAUGCAUUCUCCACAUUUUGCAUGAAAUAAUCUUUUGCGACUCAGAAUUUAAUUAGUUCCCUAUUGUUUUUACUAACUUUUUGCUUGUCAUACAUUUUCUGCAUUUUCAGGGGACUUCCAAAUCGGAGAAGGCAUAAAGCCGUUGGACCCGACGGCUGUAGCAAGUAUCGUGCGUUAUGGAACAAUAAGGAAUCCUUUGAUUCAUAAGGCUGUGGGUUAUUCGCUUGUCUACAACCAACUCUAUCCAUUUGAAGGCCUUCAAAACUACAGUUCUGGAAUAAUCCAUCACGUACGUCUCACAGGUAUGUUGUCCGCAUAAUACAUUUUGACUUUUACAUUGCGAUGCUUGUUUGGAGUUGCUCUAAUAUAUUUAUGUGGAAUCUAUUUUGUUUAAUGUGUUACAAUAUUGCCCAAUGGUUCAAUAAGAUUUUUUGGAAGAUACUACAGUUCUAAAUACCAGUAGGCGAUAUUUCUAGCAAAAGGUAUAUUUUUUUUCCUUUUAAUCGUUAUAGGCUUCACUUAAUGAAUGCCGUGAGGCUCAUGGCUGAGGCUAUAUUAUGUGAAACAAGUGUUGUGCAAGUUGCAUCAAUUUCAAUGUAUUGCUACAGAUGUUAGAAUCAUAUGAUAACGUCCAGGUUAUCUUUUAGCAUGUGGGGAAAAGGGAUACAAUUCUUCUAUGCUUGUAUAAAUAACAUAGCUUCAGAUAUGAAAGUUAAGUGUAGUGAUUUCUCUUAGACACAAUAUCUUUUUGAGAGUAUAUUUUGGUUAUACAAUGUCAGUCUCUGCCAAGGAUGUUGUCAUCUUUUGUAUUUUCAAUGAGACUCAUCACUCUGCCUCUUCUCCAUUUACUGAUUGGAUGAUUUUCAAGUGAUUCUUAAGGCUGAAUAUCAUUCCUAAGGGAAAAACAAGUUAUCUUGGUCGCAAUUGCAGUAGAGGUGUAUGCAGGCUCAGGAAACGAAGAGAACAUUUUCUCUUUUAACCUUUCCUUUUAACAUGCCUUUUCUUUUCUGCAGGGCUUAAACCUGGCACGCUGUACCAUUAUCGAUGUGGUGAUCCUUCUAUACCGGCCAUGAGUGAUCUCCAUUCUUUUAGAACAAUGCCAGCUAUAGGCCCCGAAGCUUACCCUAAACGGAUUGCUGUGGUUGGAGAUCUAGGCCUCACGUACAAUACUACAUCAACAAUUGACCAUAUGAGAAGUAACAAGCCUGAUCUUGUUUUCUUGAUCGGUGACGUAUCUUAUGCAGAUUUAUAUUUGACAAAUGGAACCGGCUCAGACUGCUACCAUUGUAGUUUUAACAAUACUCCAAUACAUGAAACCUAUCAACCUCGGUGGGACUAUUGGGGAAGGUUAGCAUUUGUUUAGACUAAUCACAAGUCUGGUCCCCGAAGCUUGAUGCAAUUUCAAUAUCAUCGUCUGUUUCAUUUCUAUCAAUUUUAAUUCUUGAAGUUUGUUAUGCACAACAAUUUAGCCGCUUUUUGUCUGGUAGCUAAAAGGCGACUCAUAGGUACCACACAAUUAAAUUGGAACUCUGAGGAUGAAAUUGCAACUGAAGUCACAUUUUAAGAUUUUAACUUUUAACUGCAGGUUGAGCUUUAGCGCUAAAAUUGAAACUCUGUGGAUGAAAAAUCGAUAAUGGGUCAAACUUUUGGGACUAAAUUGUUACAAUUGAAGCUGUGAGGACGAAGCCUGGGUUAAACUUCAUGAGCUGAUUUUGAAAUUGAUCCGAGUUAUUUGCUAAAUAUGUUAUUUCCUUCUGACAGGACAGGACUGUGGAUGAAUUUCUCUCUGUUAUUUUUCUGCUUUUGGUGAUCUCGACACAUUACCUCAUGCGUAUUGUUUCGUGCUUCAAUAUCGGAGAAAAAUACUUGACCUUUUCUUUUCAGGUUCAUGGAGCCUCUUCUAUCGGAAGUCCCAAUAAUGGUGGUGGAAGGAAACCAUGAGAUUGAAGCACAAGUUGAGGGCAAGACAUUUGAAGCGUACAGAUCUAGAUUUGCAUUUCCGUCUAAUGAGAGUAGAUCAUUUUCUACAUUUUAUUACUCUUUCAAUGCUGGGGGAAUACAUUUUAUAAUGCUUGGCGCGUAUAUUUCCUUCAAUCGCUCAGGUGACAUGCUUAAGAAUUUUGUUAGUUUCUUUCCUGUUUAAAAAAUAAGAUGCUAGAUUGCUAGCUAUUCAGUUACAAAAGUUUUUUUUUUUUUUUCCUGAACUAGUUGUGUAGUGAGUGUGAGGAAUUGUUUCUGAAAGGACUAACAUAGUUGGUAAAGCCUUUUAUGGCUGGAGCUGCAUCCUUUAUUCAUCAAGCUUUCAUUAUGUAGUAUGUAUUGAAAAAAAAUCUACUCUUUUGAUUUCACAACUCCACUGCUUUUGCAACUCUUUUAUUUCUUUCUUUAUUUAUUUUAAUAAUGCCAGCACAUUGGUCAUGCGCAAAUUUUGGUUGCUGAUGACCAAGACUUCCAUUUCGUUUACCAUAGUCUUUUAUCUCUUCAGGUGAGCAGUAUAAAUGGCUGGAAAGAGACUUGGCAAAUGUAGACAGAAGUGUGACACCCUGGUUGAUAGCCACUUGGCAUCCACCUUGGUAUAGCACAUACAAAUCUCAUUAUAAGGAAGCGGAGUGUAUGAGGCUGGAGAUGGAAGAGCUUCUCUAUUCGUAUGGCGUUGACAUCAUUUUCAAUGGUCAUGUAAGUUCCCAGCCCUGUACUUGUUCCCAUUUGAUUAUUUUUGCUCUCGCAAACUUGAACAUGGUAUUUUUUAGUAGUUUUCGGAACAUUUGUCAUUGCUGAAGCAUAUUUCACUAAAUUAAUUUUUUUUUAAAAAUACUUUUACAUUUACUCCUGCAGGGUUAUCUAGUUACAUAUAUAUCCCUGGGCGGCAUCGAGCAAAAUUGAAACGUACUUUUACAUUUACUCCUGCAGGGUUAUCUAGUUACAUAUAUAUCCCUGGGACAUCUUAAUUUGCAUAUAUGACAUUUUACAAGGUACAUGUCUAAUAGACAUACCUUUGAACUUACAAAUUUCAAUGUUUAGAAAACCUUUAUAAGGAUAUAUAAUUUUAAGAAGCCCAAAUUUUGAGGGGUAUAUAUGAAAAUUCUGGUUCUACCAGGGUUUCGAUGGAUUUUGUUUAGAAAAUAUAUGUAGAAGAUCUUAGCUUACCGUCACAAUAUUUUCCAGUUAAGUUGGCAACCUUAUUCUUCCCCGUGAAGAGCUUGAUAACAAUUUAGAGAUCAAAUCAUUAUACUAAUCUAAUGCUAUUUGAUGACGCUUUUUAUGUGGCUAUUGAGAAAUGUACUUUGAACCAACUUUUUCUUGACUCUAGCUUGAACCGACUUCUUACAAAUGUUCUCCGAAUAGAUCUUUUCCCCCAAAAUGGAAUGAACGCAACGAAAUUUUUGUUUACUGUAACAAUUCAUCGAUUGAUGUUGCUAUCCCUGAACGUCAGGUACAUGCCUAUGAGAGAUCUAAUCGAGUUUACAACUACGAAUUGGAUCCUUGUGCCCCAAUCUAUAUAACUGUUGGCGACGGGGGUAAUAGGGAAAAUGUGGCGACUUCUCAUGCAGAUGACCCCGGCAACUGCCCCAACCCCUUAAGCACUUAUGAUAAGCACUUGGGUGGCAGCUUCUGUGCUACCAACUUCACCACGGGCCCUGCUGCAGGAAAAUUUUGCUGGGACCGUCAGCCUGAUUACAGCGCAUACAGAGAGAGCAGCUUCGGUCAUGGAAUCUUAGAGGCAAGUCCUUUUUCAGGUUCUCACAAAAGCCAAUUCUCACCACUCCUUUUCUCUGUAUGAUUGUUUGAUGAUUUCCCAGGUGAAAAAUGAAACUCAUGCAUUGUGGACAUGGCAUCGGAAUCAGGACAUGUACAACAGCGCGGGAGAUGAGAUUUAUAUCGUCCGGCAGCCCAACAAGUGCCCUGUGAGAUACGUGCUGCCCCAGUUUAAAUCCAAGAAUGUCUUGCCCAAUGACUUAUUCAGAAUAUGAAGGAACAUACUCCAGAUUGAUACUUGAGAUUAUACAGUGAAACAUAGUAGUUUAUAGGCAAUGUCCGCAUACCGAAAGAACAGUGUGAAACUUACUAAAGAAGAAUUCUUUAUCGCUAUGUGUUAUCCCCUGUUUGGUUUGGAAUGGUACAGAUUAGUUGAGAUACAUCCGAGAGAGGGAGAGAGAUUUUCUUCAUGGGGUAACUAUUAGGGAUGUUUGCUUUCUUGCAAAAGCGGGGAAACUGUAUCCAGAAAGAAUCUUUUUCAUGAAAAACAUUCUUUUCUACAGUCGUUUUUUCAGUAAAAAAUUUGGAAAAUAAAAAUACUAUUUUUUUAAUAGAAUUUGGAAAUAAGUUUUUUAAAAAUUAUUUUUCUAAGGCACCAAACGUACGAAAAAUAUUUUUUCAGCAAAAGAAAAACUAUUUUCUCCGAUAUUUUUCAAAAAACCAUACACCCACUUAAGCUUUUGGGCUUGUUUGGUAGUAGAGGCUCACAAAUCCGGACUAAGAAUGGCCUGAGAGAUAAAGAAAUAUUUCCUCACAAGAAUUCAUAAAAUUGUUAAGCCCUUUUUUUUUUUUUUUUUUUUUUUUGAAAGUAAGAAAGAUGAAGCCUGCAGUUACAAAUCUAUACCUAUCUAUAUCUUCUUCUUCUAUACAUUAUUUAUUAUAAACUUUGCCACGUGGCAAAGCCUCCUUCAUCCUUGCCUUAUUCCUCAUUCCUAAUGAUUGAAUUUAUUAUCUUUUAUCUCCGCGCGACGUUUGGUCUUUCCACAUGUCCAUUUCUUAAUUAAUAUAUUCACAUUCAUUAUCAUCUAAACAAAUCAAUUUUAUAGAAGAAACAAAUAAAAUAAAAUAUGUGGCGAAUGAGAAGUGGGGAUCAGGAUUCGCCUUCCCGAUAUCGACAGCGCAAUUAAGGUGUAUGUGGAGUAGUGUUCUAUUGCUGUUUUUUAUUAUUAUUAUAUGUAAUUUAUUUGCUAAAAUUAUAAAUUUUACUAUAUCUGGUUCAUAUGUUCUAUUUGUAUUUAUUCCCUUGAUUUUUUAUGACAAGUCAAAAAAUUUUAAAAUAUUUUUUAUUUUAUCAAUCUUUUGUCUCUUAUAGUAUCAGCCCGCCGCAAUACGCGGGUAACUUCACUAUUAACAUAAUGGAUGAAGAUACAAAAAUAUAGAAAUCAGGAACUGAAGCUAAGCAAAUCCUACAAGCCCCAUCCAAACAAAUUAAAUAGGCAAAAUUACACUAACAGAAAACAACAGAAGAUAGAUAACUGCAAUAGUACAGUCGAUGAAGCUGCAAUCAUUCUUUGUGAUGAUCCAAGCCUAUUAGUAGUGGCCAAAUAUAAACUGUUUCCAGAAAAAACCCGACUAUCGGACCAGCUGGAAUACACACAAGAGAGAAGAGAGUGAGCUUCGCUGCGACAAAAAUCUAACAGGCAGACAAAAAAGAAGCUUCUGACAACAUGCUCAGUAAUGUCAUCUCUCAGAAGCCGCUCGCAUAUCCAUUUGAAACGGAAGGCUUAGAUUGACCAAAAAUAUGAACACUUUUCUUCACUAAUUUGUUACAGUAAUCAAUCGGGCAACUGUUUUCGGCGGUUCGUGUGUUUCAGUUUAAUCUUUUUGUUUGACACUGUCUGUCAAGUAAAAUUAAGGGAAGUACAUUCUGCAUGAUUUGCAGAGUGUCCAUUUUAAGCAACUUUACCUUCUUCACUUUGUCAAACAGAUGAAUACCAAAAAUAGUAGUUAUUCGGAAUUUAAACAUAGUGAUUUCAUACGAGAUUAAGGAGCAAGAAGAGGAUAGAAACAGACAAAAGCUACAAAGGAACAUGCCAUUCCAACACAUCACUGGUGAUUAACAGAUUCAAAUAAAAGAAUUUAUAGACUCUGUCAGGCAGAAAUGAAAUUUGAAUCAUCACAGAGAAUUAUUAUAUCUUGAAAGCCGCACGUCACUCAAAUACAACACGGUUAGGUGGAGUUUAGAGGACAAAAAGAAAAAUGCAAAAAUAAAUCUCGUCCUAACAGAGGAUCCAGUACAAAGAGGAUGUUCCUAGGGAAAAUCUUCAACAAAAAUGCCUGAUACUUCUCAUGCAACAUAAAAUCAAUUGCAGAAUAAAAUGCAGGAGCAAGAGAUUUGGGCUAAUAAUCAGCUGAAAAAGACGGACUUAACGAUUCAGCCUUUUGUUCUCAGUAUAGUAAUGCAGCCUUUUCCUCCUUCGGUGCGAAUUUGAGUUUUCUCAACUACUGGCUUCCCAGAGAAAGCCGAAGUGAGGUAAGGAGGCUCAUCGUCCUUCUUGCUGUUAGAUUUUGAUGGUGGCGGAGAAUGGAUGAGAUGAUUUAUAUCCUUCAAUGUGAGAUCACCUUGUUCUCCACAUGAUUUGAUGAGGUUAAAUGGAUAGACAAUGGAAGUGGUUAACUUCUUUUGUGUCUUAAUGAAGGAUUUCUUGCCUGAUUUCAUGUAAAAACUAACUAUUAAUUCUUGCAAAAGAAGGGGAAAAAGAACGAAUCGUUUCAAAUGAGGGACGCAUUCAUGCUAGCUUUGAAACAUACCUUUGAAAAUUUUAAGAUUGGCGAGAUUGGUGGUCUGUUUUGCGACAUCAUUUUUGAUAGUAGGUGCUACAUCACAGAAUUCUGUUCAACGAGAUAAAGUAAAUGAAAAUGAAAUAAAAAGUUGCGAAUUCUCGGGCCUCAUUUCGUAAUGUCAUCAUUUUCUUUGUGUUUUUUUUCAAUUUUUUUCAAAUAUAAAUUCUUUGCAAUGGAGUGUCCAGGUGGAUGGCAAAGUGCUCUCAAUCUAUAUAUCUGUGAUACUUUUUAAGUGCGUAUUAGAUGGAAAAUUUGGCCUCAAUCUAUUUCUAAGCAAUACAAAAAAAAUAAAGAAAAAAGAAAAAAGAAGAACACUCCAAAAAGUUCAUUUUUCAUACAGUUGUCUGCUGCGUUUUGGAAGGAUAACUCACACCCAAAAAGAAAUCUAUUGAUUUCUCCUAAUGUAAGAAUCAAACACAUGGAACCAAAAAUCUUAAGUCUACUGAUUAGAGCCCACUAAUAUAUACCAAUUUCUAUUCAAUAUUUAUUCUAUACGGGACUAUUCCUCACAUGCGAACACCAGACACCAAGAAUUUCAUGAAGCUAAAAGCAUGAGUUUUAAACUAAAGCUUCUGCUUCAGUUUGGUGAGCCCAAAGCUCAUUUUGGCUUUCUGCUCCAACUGAAAGGUCUAAACUUUUGCUUCUCAAGUACAGGACCUUCCAUGAGCUCGAAAUUAAAACAUGCAUGUAAAUGAAAUAUGGACAAUAUUUUGAAGCCAUUAAAACACCCGAAUUUCAGCUGGCAAUCAGAGUUUACAUUCACAUUCUAGCUAGACCUACCAUGACAACUAAAUCUAUCAAUACUGACAAAGAAAAAAAAAAAUGGAAGAAAGGAAAUCUAUAAUUGCUAAUUGAAGCUUGGUAACACUGACAUUUCAUCAGGACUGGGAAACAAACCUCGAGAACCUGAGCUCUCUUGAGUAUUCUGUUGCAACCUUUCUUCUGAGCUAUAUCCAGACACGGAACUCUCUGUCACCUUAAAACAGGGAAGCCGAGACAUGAAAGUAGAGAUCUUAAAUUACGAAUAAGACCAAAAUUAGAGAAGCAAUUGGUGGUGGUUCAGGGAUCUAGUACCUUACUAGUUACAUUAAUACAAGUGAUUUGCGCAUUUUCAUUUCCUUCUCUCUCGUAAUCAUCAGAAUCGAAUUGCAGCACACGUCGCCUUUUAACCAGUGACAACUUUUCGCACUCCACUUCUUUUCUGGAACUACCUAUGCAUUCAAUUGUCCCUUAAUAUUGAGUAAGAAGUCAAUAGAAAGAAGAAACUAGGGUGAAAGGAGAAAUAAGUUACUUUCUACACCUGAUAUAUCGUAGCUAACAUCUCGACACUCUCUGAUUGGAGUUUGAUCUCCCAGCAAGUAUAACAAACUGUCAUCUUCUUGGUUCAUGCCAUCCCAAAAGGAGAAUAGAACAUCUGUACAUUUAAAAGAAUGAGUAUAAAAGCAACCUAGCAAAAGAAAUUCCUGAAUAUGAGAGAGGUAUCUAACCAUCUGCUGGAUCUCUUGACCCAUAAAGAUCUUCUUCUCCUUGGCAUUCCCACAUAUAGCUUAUAUGCAUUAGACAAACCAGAUUAUGAAUCAGUAUUUUGCUCUCCUCCAUGAAGCAAAUGAUGACAACAUUACAACCAGAAAACUGAAAAAAAGAGGAAAAUAUAGGGGGGGAAAAAAUGUUUUCCAAACUGUUAAAAGUUGCCACAUUAUGCUGAUAAAUUUCAGCCAGAACCACAUUGAUUUUGCAUGUAAUUAUUCAGCAUAAUCUUGAUAAAGACCAACUAUCAAACAGGAAACUGAUCCAAAAGUGCAAAAAGAUAGUUCAAUAAAAUUUGGGCACUAACAGAUUCAGAUAGUUUAAAUAACUAUCUGAAGGUAAAUUAGUCCACUUGUUUAUAAAUGAAAGUUUGUUCAGAAUCUUCUACAUAUUGGUAUUUCAAAAGACUGAUCAGUUAGUCACAAGGAGAUACUUGAAAAUCAAUUGAAAUGCAGGAAAAAGUGAUAAGAAAUACAAAGCAUACUAUAACCACAUAAUAAAUCUAAACCCCAGUGCAAACCUGGAAAGAUAGAUCCCCAAAUGGCAAAGUUAGAUGGUGUGAGAAAGAGAAACAAGAUCACUCACAUAUUAUUGUUGUUGUGAUUGUUGCCAUUAUUGUUGUCAUGAAAUUCCAUUUAACUAAGAGAAGGGUGAGAGCCAAAUUAAACAAGAGGAAAUGGGAAAAGAAAAAAGAAAAAGAAGAAAAGAGCCAAUAGCCGUUAGAGAGGAGGAUGGAGCUUCAUUUCCUCACUUCUCCCAGAUGGAGAACCUCUCAUUCUUAUACAGAUUAAAAAUAAUAAUAAUAAUAAUACAGUAAGAUGAAAGAAGGGAAGGUGUGGGAUUUUGUAUUUAUCUACUCUCUAAUGGCUUUCCAAACAUGGCUAUAGAUUCAGUUAAUUGAGUACCACUACCUCACACAUUAUAAGUUGAUGAGAAUAAAAUUUAGACAAAAAAAUUUGGGAUAAUUUCAUCAAUACCCCUCUAGGAGACAGUAAUUUCAUAAAUACCCCUCUAAAUUAGAAAAUAUCAAGAAUACCCCUCUAAAAAGCAACAAUAUUCACAAAUACCCUUAAAACUAACAUUCCGUUAAAAAUGUCAUCUAAAAUUCUAUAAAUACCAAUUUUACCCUUAUUACUAAUUUAACUAAGUGUAAUAAUUUAAGAUUAAUUAUAUGAUUAAUUCUUAACCUUUCAAUCACAUAAUAAUUCAACAUUCUCUUUAAAAUUUUACAAUUAAAGAUCUACAGUCUAUUAAGUGUAAUAAUUAAAUCUUGUUAUGAUUUUCGCUUUUAAAUUAUAUAAUAGUUGUAAUGCAAUUAUCCAUUGUAGUAUUUAACAUUAAUUUUUUCAAGAUUUUUUUUUGAAUUUUAUUUAAAUAACUCACAGUUUUCUAAUUAAACAUUUAUUGUCAACAAAAAAAGUAACAUUGUAUGAAGACCCUCUCACCUAUUAGUCCACUUCAGCAUGAUCUUAACUUUAAAUUAUAUAUAUAUAUAUAUAUAUAUAUAUAUAAAAGUAGGGCUACAAUACUUUUAUAAGUAUAGAGCCCUAUGUACUCAUAAGUUUUUUCGAUAAUGGAGCUUCCGAAUCGACGAUCUACUAUGUUAAAUAUGAUCUAGAGUGUUUGCAAUUUUUAAAAAAUAAAUUUUGUAAUUUUUCGAAAUCAUAAUAACGUCUAUCAAGUGGGCAUAAAAUGAGCUGUCAAAAUCUCUAUAUUGAUCUUUAUCUAAAUAGUAAAUAAAAUUUUUUAUCAAAAAUUCAAUUGAUUCCGAAUUUUUUUCACCAUAAACUAGCAAGUAUCCCAUACCGACCAUUAAAAAUUGUCAAUUUUGAGAUCUAUUGAUCGUAAUGAUAUAAAAAAAUUAUAAAAUUUGAUUUCUUGAAGUUUUUAAAUAUUCUAGAUAAUAUUUAACGUUAUGGAUCGUCGAUUCGAAAGCUUUAUUAUUGAAAACGACUUAUGAGUAGGAAGGCAAUCACACUCAUAAGAGUAUAGUAGCCUGACUCUCUCUCUCUCUAUAUAUAUAUACAUCCUCUCAACUGUAGUGAUUCUUUACUUUUGCAAUUAAGUGUUUUUUUUUUUUCCAACUAAGUUAAAAAUUUUAUCAAAUUCAUGUAUGAGUGAUCUCAAUUGAAAAACUUUUAACUAAGUAAAACGCAAAAACAAAAAAAAACAAAAAGUUAAAGGGUUCUCUAAAUGUUAAAAAAUUGAAGUUAAGGAGGUAUAUUUCAAAAUGACCUAUAGGUGAGGGGCUUCCACUUAUUUUAUCCAUCAAUAAUUAGUGUUAGAAAUUAGAAGGGUAUUCAUGAAAUUACUCCUGUAUUAUUUGUUAUCAAAAGAACAACCCAAACAAUUUUUAAGGGGUAAAUUAGUCAUUUUAUAACUUUAUCCUAACGUCAGUUAGAAUGAGGGUAAUUGUGAUAAUUUUCUACAUUUGAAGGGGUAUAUAUGAAAAUUUUAAUUUUAUAGGGGUAUUUGUGAUAUUUACAUGUUUAAGAGGGCUAGUGAUGAAAUUGCCCCAAAAAAUUUAUAUCUGUACAUUAUUCUUUCUAAGUUUGUCAUAUACUAACGUUCUCUUCAUUAUUGGUGUGGGCUCCACUAAAGUUCUCCACAUAUUUUGAUUUUUUUUUUUUUUAACCGAAUCAAAAUUUUCUUUUUCUUUACUUGAACCGAACCAAUCAUUGUUGAGUGUGUGCUCCUCCAAUUAAACUGGCUCUAAGUCUUCUACAUAUUUUUCUCUUUCUUUGUUUGAACUGAACCGGAUCACAUCUCUGUAUUGGCCCGAACUGUUAUUCUUCUACUUCCUUCGGCUGUUACCUUCUUUCAUCGAUAAGAUGAAUUUUAUUUUUUAUCGUUGUUUCUUCCAUCGCUAUUUUCUUUUAUUUUAUCACCACUUCUUCUUUUUUUUUUUUCUAAUUAUCUACCGGUCGUAUUGCAAUUAUUGCUACCCUAGUUAUAACAUUAUAGGAUUUAUAUAUAUUAUGAGUUAGACUGGAGCCUUGAGUUGGUGGGCUGGAUUCAUACUGCUAGAUUUUAUUGGCAUGUAUUCCUAAAAGUGGCAUAGCAUUAUAUUCAUCAUCUAUACUAUUAUAGUUGAUGAUUAUUUAUGCUUUCAUUUUUUUUUUCCCUUACUUUAAUUCUUCAUCGUGUGACUACGCAGUCGUUAUUUCAUUGCACCGCUAAGGUCUUAUUGGAAAACAUAUUACGCAGGCACUGCGAUCCAUUGAUCUAACACAAUAGAUUCGAUCAAGACAUGAAAUUUCUCAUUUGGCAAAGUUGGGAUUCUCAAUCUUGUAAUCACGAAUGAGACAUUUAUAGCAUAAUAGUAGCAGUAAACCUUGAUUUAAGUGAAGCAUCUUUUGACAUGUUUUCAGUAUCUUGCAUUAUGCCAAAAAAACUAGCUCUAAAUGUUAACUAUUUAUUGUCUAUGUUUACCAAAAAAUUCAAAUCCAUGUAUUUCUUUUUUUCUUUUGCAAUAUAAUAUUAUAAAAAGAGUUAGAGUUUGAGGUUCGGUAAGGUAUAUGUCUUAGCCUUUUAUCACCAAGGAUUUUGGUGUUCUAGCUUUGUCAUUUUUUCAUUCUAUGUAUAAACUACGAACUCACGUGAUUUCCAUUUUCACUGCAAACUAUAUAAGUCUUUCCCUUCUUCCAAAAUUUUAAAAUUUUUUGUAGCUAUUAAUUAAUUAGCAGUUCAUUCUCUCGGUUUAAUUUGCUAAAAAGUAAUUUACAUAAUCAAAUUUGAUAAAAUUAUGGUUUAAUUUGAUAAAGUUUCAAAUUUAUUUGAUUAAAAUCAUCCAAUUCUAAAAAUCCAUAAAAUAAGAGGUCUGAAAUGACAAGAAAGGUUGAGAGAGCUAUCUAAGAAUGUAUGUAGAGGGAUUUUCUAAAUAAGGAUUUAAGUGCCGUGACAUGUACGGAAUCGUACAAAAAACUACUGCAUACACGAUACGGCAUGGUGCGUGAGGGACUGUGCCGAUGCAUGCCGUUCAUAAAAAAUAUAUAUAUUUUGACAUAUAAUGAUAUGAAAUAUUUAUUUUUUUAGUAAUAGAAUAUUCUAAUUACUUGUUAUAUAUAUAUUUAUCAAAAUUUUUAAAUUUUAUUAAAAAAAUUACUUACUAGUUAUAUAAAAAAAAAAGAGCUUUGAACUAUGUCAUUGGCACGGGUUGUAUUGUGCCGAUAUCUUAUUGGUAUGAUACAUCACGAAAAAUAUACUCCAUACGGAUGAUAUAUAUUUAAAUCGUUGCUUGUGUGUACUCCCUCAAAAUUUACAAUUUUUGUACAUAUCUUUAAAAAAUGAUAUUUGUACGUAGAUCUCUUGCUUGUACGUUUUCAUUUUUGCACUUUUCAGACUCAAAAAAGAGUUUACUCUGAGCGCAUCAUACUUAACAUACUCUUAAACAUAAGGUCUUGAAGCAAAGAUAGAUUUUAACAUACACAUAAAUAUGCGUCAUUUCUGCAGAUAUACGCAAAAAAAAAAAAAUGAAAAAAAAAAUAGAGAUAGAAAGAGAGAAUACAACUCAACUUAAGACCAAUUUUGUUCCAACAAAACCACACCAAAUUAAACAGCAAAGUUCAGUUUCAACCAAACACAGACACAACUAUCCAAUGAGCCAAAACAUGAUGGGAGCAAAACUUCAAGACUCUCCUCUCACUAGCAACUUACCAAACAACACACAUUCUAUAACCACUCAAAAUAAAAAAAAAAAAAAAAUGCUCCCCACACAUUUUAUUUUCAGAUAAUUAACUUAGUAGAUCAACAAUCGACAGCUAUAAAGUCCAAAAAGCUCAAAACUAGAGAAUGAGAUUGUAAAACCCAAACGCGAAAUCUAGAAAAAUUUCUAAACUAACUACGUCGAAACCUUGUAAAGCACUUACAAAGAGUAUGAUUUUUCGCAAUCUUUGUUAAGCAAAUCAUAUCUUUGCUAGUUUCUGUGCAAGGUUCCGAUGUAGUUGGUUUAAAAGCCUCUCCAGAUCACGCAAUUAGGCAUACACGGUUUUGGUCAUCUUACGAACUCUAGUUCUAAUUUUUUUUGACUUUUAUAGCGGUUAACGGUUGAUCUAAUAAGUUACACAUUUUGCAAUCCUCCGCCGGUCUGGUGGAGCAUAGCAUCGAUCUCAUCGCCGUCCUCCAUGUCCAGCUGGAAAGAAUAAAAUGGAAAUUGUAAGCUAUCAAAAUUUGGUGGCAACUACGUAAAUCUUUUUUUUUUUUUGGCGUUCUUACUUCAGUAGGGGUCUGCUGUCCACGAAGGCGGCGGCCCUCGUACAGAAAGACGACCGUGUUGACGUCGAGUGACUGCCUGUUGCAGUAGGCUGUCAUCAACUUCUGGAGCUGCGAAGCGCGCUUGAUCCUGAAACAGACUUCGAUACCAUCCUGUGUACAACAAAAAAAAAAAAAAGCUUGAUCUUCGAAACCUUAGAAUGAUCAAACUGCGUUCGAAAAAGCUAUAUAUAUAUAUACACACCUGUCCCCUAACUUUCAGAUUGAUCUGGUUCGCCGGUUUCUUGUCGCCAUCGUCAAUGCUGGACAUUCCGACGCUGUUCGACUCUUCGUCCUCCAUUCUCGACAUUCCUUCUACCUCUCUUCGAAAAAUCUAAACUCUUUGAGAUAGUAUUUCAAAGAUAUUCUCACUCUCUUUGCACGCUCUUCUCUCCCCAUGGGGUAGGGUUUAUAUAGGGGUUUUGGAGGGAAACGGACGCAGCAGCGUCGCGAGGGUCGCGUGUGUUGGGGGGUUUGGUGCUGCAUGCGAGGAAAACGAUACCUCCUGUGGAAGAGCUUUUUUUUGAACCCUGGCGCGCGCUCCNUGUAUUAAUUCCAACUCCACUGCAGAGAAAGGAAUAACGUUUCAGAAGUGGGGGAGAGCGCGGAUUACCUACAACCCCGUGCGUAGGAAUCCCUAGCACACGGAACCGAUCCCGCCGUUCAUUACUCGCGAAUCGAAUCCGUACCUUUGGCAUCGGACGGUGCGGAUUUAGUCUCUUGUUCAUGAACGGUGAGAUAAAGUCGGUGUGUACAAAUUCCUGCGCACCGGGUUGUAGGAAUGCGUGUUCCCAUUCUGAACCUUCCAUUUUUGCGAGCCCGCGCGCGAUUCCCGUUGAGAACCCUCCCCUUGCGAGAAGCGUGAGGGUGAGAUAAGGAAUUGAGAAAUAUUCCCUACACCCGGUGUAUGUGUACGUACGACUCGUAGACCGUGGCGCCGAAUCCUCGUAAUGAUGAGUUUCUAAAUUCAAGCAAGGGACCUUUCUAUGGGCUAUUGGUUUUUUGAAACUACUUGAUGUUUCAAUAAUUAAUAUAUAAGCGACAAAUUGAUUACAUGCAAUUACAACUAUGAUUAUAGUUCAUAAUAAUUAUGUACAAAUUUAAAUUCGGUGUUUAAUUUGAUAUAUUUGAAUUCAACUGUCGCAGUUGGAACUGUAUGAUGAGCGCAAACUGCAGCAGUUAAAAUUAUGUUCGAAUUGGCAAUAAUUUCAACUGUAUCAGUUGGAGAGAGUAACUUUAAUUAGGUAAACUUAUAUUCUUAAUCGCAUUUUAGAUAGAAUAUAUAUAUUUUUCUAUAUAAUUGCAGCAUUUUUUAUUAUAUCCAACCAAAUAAGAUAUAUGCAGUUGUAAUUAAUGUAUAUAAAAUUACAUGCAUCUCCAACUACGCUAUAUUUCUAAUUAUAUUCAGUCAAAUGGUCAUUCAAUUUCUAAAGUUUAUUUAGUUUAUUUAUAUAUAUAUAUUAGGUCACAUCUAUAAAAUUUGAUUAUAAUUUUUUAGAUAUUUACUAUUAAAAUUCAGAUGCUGUAUAUCACAAGUCUUGAAACAACUCGAGUGCGGGCAAUAAUUCACAGGGUGAGAGUGUUUUAAUUCUUGGCUAAAUUAGGCAAAUCUUUUGAGCCCUACUUGGAUGCUUUCAAUUUAAUAAGUGUGAACAAAAUUUAAGCUGUGCAUAAUACUUAGGUCCUUAAAUUUUAAUUUAUUACAUUUUGACUCAAACUUUGACACUGAUGCACAAUAAUGUAGCACAUUAAUUCUUUACUGUUGCAUCGCUGCUCCAUAGGCGACAAAUUAAUAUUUAGUUAAUUAAAUUUACUCCCUAAGAGUUGAUUGCAGUGAUCUACAAAGCACGAAUUAAAAAUUAUAACAAUUUAAUAUGUGAGGACUAAAAUAUUACACACAACUUAGUUUGAGGACCAACAACGCAAUUAACCAAACUUUUUUCAUUAGAAAUAAAAGUUAAAACUAGCUGCUCGAGUUCAAAAAUAUAAAAUAAAUUGUAUGCUUCUAUAAUAUAAAAAUUAAUCUAAAUUUUUUUAUUAUAGCGAUAUUAUUACUUCUUCAAAUAACUCUACUAUAUAUAAAAUACGUGAAGAAAUUAAGUUUUAUCUGCAAGUAGAUAAUGAGAACCUAUUUGGUCUCGUUUUCCAGCAUUUGCUUAUAAUUAAGAAUUUGUCAGUUGACCGACCAUCCCUAGAGAAAGUGACAACGGGUUUGGUGGUUGGUACCCGAGACCCAAGUUCGAAUCCUAGUUGAUUCACAUUUCUUGCUAAGUUUAUUUCUAAAUGAAAUAAAUGAAGCGGGUAGUGUGCUGCCUAUCUCUCUCUAAAAAAAAAGAAUUUGUCAGUUGCUUAAGACUGGUAUAGUAGGCCACAAGUUUACACAAAAGUGGCCUGAUUUUGUCACAAAGGUGAGUAAAAGCAUCAUUUUGCAAAGUUGUCCCAUUGCACAAAACCAUUGUAUGUAUUAAGGCUUAGUUUGAUAAUGUGACGAGUUAAAUUCUGGUCUAUUGGACCACAACUCAUCUCCAUUCUAUAUUUUUUUCAAAAAAAUAAUACAAAUAUAGAGUCUGACUACUAUACUUUUAUGAGUAUAGACGUCUUUAUACUCAUAACUUUUCGGCCGUUAAAUUUACCCUUUGAUCAUUUUCACCCGUUAGAUCAUACUAUUUAACCAACAACUCAUUUAACCCUAGGGAACCACUAUUAUUCUAAUUUGGGACCACUAUCAUCCUAACCGUAAAUUUCUUCACCCAACAGCCAAAAACUUAUGAGUAUAAAAGUGUUUAUACUCAUAAAAGUAUAAUAGCCUUUUGCUCAAUAUUAUAUAUAAUACUAUAUUUUAUUUUUUUUUUUAUUUUGUGUGAUGUGGGGAUUUGAUGGUGUAGUGUAUUUUUUUAUUAUUUUAUGUAUAUUUUUUUUGUUUUUUUUUUAUUUUUUUUUUUUUUUAAAUACUCUGCAUGUAAGCAGCCGAAGGGGGCCGUGAGGAUUUUGAGUUUUAACAUUGGAUCGAGAGAUGUAGAUUGGCAUUGGAUGGUGGUAACAUGUGUUUAGUGGUGGUUAGGUGGUUUUUAUAGUGUUUGAUCAAGGGUGUAUAGUAUUAUAGAAUUAGGAUCAAUGGCUAGAAACUAAAAGCACCAAUGUGAGUGGGUGCUUUAAAAGUAUUUAAUCAAUAUAUAUAUAUAUAUUAUAAUAUUUUUUUUUUUUUUUUUUUAUAUUAUAUAGAUAAAAUAUAAAUAUUGUUAAUUUAGUAAUUAAUUUUUUAAAUUAUAAAUUUUUAAUCAAAAUAUAUAUAUUAUAUUAUAUAUUAUAUAUAUAUAUUAGUAUAUAUAUAUAUAUAUAUAUUAUAUUUUAAAAUUUUAAAUAUUUGUUAUUUUAUAAUUAUUUUUAUAAAUUUUAAAAUUUUUAAUCAAAAUAUCAAUUUAAAUAGAAAUAAUUAUUAUUUAUAUUUUUAGAUUUUAUAUAUAUAUUUAAAAAUUUUAAGGAGCUAGCCCGGAGCACGGCUGGGCCCGGCAAGGCCCGUGGCUUCCGAGCCGAGAGGCCAUGUUUAGUCGGAGGCUAGGGAACUCGGGCCCUGCAGGGCCCAACCCGAAUUUGUUGUUGGGCCGGGCCAGCCCUUAGCCCAUUUUGGCCCAAAUAAUGUGGGCUGUACCGGCUCGGCACAGCCCAUAUUAUGACCCUACUCACAACUAAAAUUUAUUUUCGACUAACUUUUUAUAAGAUAUCUAUGUCAUAAUUAAUGCAAAAUAGUCAAUUGACCUUAUAAUCAAGAAAAGUGACAAAACUAAUAUGCAAUAGUCACUAACAUGCAAUGAGCACUUUCUUUUUACAUGGUCUAAGGGAUUGAAAUGUUUACUCUCAUAUAAACUUUCCUCCAUUAUUAUUUGCAUUCAGCAUGUUGAGUAAAGUUUUAAGUGAAGUAAAAAUUUCGCUACCCUUUAACCUCCAAUAAUAAAAAAUAUUUCAAUUUAAAGGGAUUAUGAUAAAAAAUGUUAAAGAAGGAGAAAUAGAUAAUAUAUAGAAAGACAAUAAAAUUUUUGCCUUUCUAAUAUCAUCUUAUACUUUCUUCCUCCUUAUUUUUUCGCGUUCUUUUUUUUUUUAAUACUUUCUUUUCAUUUUUCUUUCUUUAUUUUUUUCUAUUCUUACUCCUUUCUUUCUCUAUUUUCACUUUUUAUCACCUUACUUUCUCUCUCUUUAUUUUCUCCUACUUUAUUUUUUCUUUAAUCUUGCUCUCCUUUAUCUCCCUUUGUUUUCUUUUUUAUCCAUUUCUCUCUCUCGACUUUCUCUCUUUACUUUCUAUCUCUUUAUUUUUCUCUCCCAACACUUUCCCUAUCGUCCUUGCUUUUUUAUAUUCCUUUAUUUUCUCUCUCUUCUUCCUUUUCUAUCUAUUCACUUUCUCUCUCAUCUCUCUAAUUUUUUUUUUCUAGUUUUCUCUCUUCACUUCUCUCUCCUUUGUUCUCUCAUCUCCCUUUGUAUCUAUUCACUUUCUCUUUAGUCCAUCGUUCAUCUUUUUUUUUUUUUCUCGCGUUCUCUCUUCACUCCUCUCUCCUUCGUUUUCUUUUUUUAUUUUCUCUCUUCUCCUUAUUCACUCUCUUUUCUCUCUCUCUCUCUCUCUCCUUUCUUUCUUUCCUUGUUUUUUUUGUUCACUUCUUUUUUCUUUCUUCUCUCUCUUUUAUUUUCUAUCCUCACUUUUCUUUCUUCACUUUCUCUCUUGUUAUUUUCUCUCUUCCUUACUCUCUCUUCUCUUUCUCUUUUCUUUCUUUAUCGUCAUCUUUACUCUCUUUACUUUCAUUCAUAUAUAGUACAACUAAGUAUCAUUAAAGAAAAAUAUUUUACGGAAGCAAUAUUUACUGAACAAAAUGUUACAUGGGGAAAUAUUUAAUCCCUAACUUUUAAACCCAUAUCAAACUACAUCUUAAACUUAAAACUCUUAUAUUUUAAAAUUGAUUAUGAAAGGGCAAAUUGCAUAAGUGAUUCCUAGAAUUUGAGUGAACCCCAAACUUUUAAAUUUAACACUUGAGGCUCAUACUUUCAAAAUUAUUUUACUUUAGUCCUUAUAUUAGAAGAAAAUUAAUUGCAUGUACCUUGUUUAUUCAUACUUCUAUGCAUCAUAUAUCUAUUGGUCUUUCGUCUAUCUCAUACUUUAAUCUAACUCAAUCCUAAAUAGAGAAAAGAGAGUAUAAGAUAUAUAUUAGAAAUAUAGGCAACAGUUGCAAUUUUAAAAUGAUACUACCACUUUAUGACAAUUAAAUAAGAAGACUAUGAAAUUUUUAGUAAAUAUUCCUUUUUUAGAAACUAACCUGCACAUGAGAGAGAGAGAGAGAGAGUGAGAGAGAGAGAGAGAGAGACUCGAACAUGUUUUUCGUGAAAAUGUGUUGCUUACGCAAACAUGAGUACUUUCCGUGAAUGUGCAUUACUCGUGCAUGCUCAUGCUUUUCGCGAAGUUGUGUUACUCAUGGAACCCCAUAAUAUGCCUUAAUGCUAAGCUAGAUGUUGGAACUUAGGUUAUUGUUAGUUCCUUGAUAUCGAAGAGAGCAAUGUGGCAGCCUUAUCUCCUAUGCCUUCGUAUUCUUCUAAACUGUCCCUAGUCUAUUAUUAUCGUUGCGAAUCAUUGACUCUAACCACUAUUCCAAUAGCCCAAGCUGAAAGAAAUAAGGCAACCAAUUUACUUAAAAUAGAUAGAUACCAUGCUCAUCAACUAAAUUGUCUCUUGGCCCAAACCUAGCUACUUAUACCUGAGGUAGAGAAAAGGGAGGAGCCAAUGGGAGAAGGCAUCAUACUUCAAACAAAGAAGAGAGGAAUCGAUAGAGAAGAAUAAUGAAAAUGAUUUGGUCAUACUUGGAACAAAGAAAAGAUCAGAAAAAGAUACAAAAGAAAGAAAAGAUUUGGGUAUUUCAUAAUGAAUUGGAUGGGUUAAUGCAUUAAAAAGUGAUUAUGAUAUUAAAGACCGAUUGAAAGAAAGCUUUUGAUAUUCACAUCUUCAAAAUAUCAUUUGAUUAGAUUAUGGGUCGCAUGAGUAAUAUUUAGUAAAUAAUUCCAACAUUUACACACGCAAAAAAAAGAACUUAAAUUUAUUAUGAACUUUUUACUAUUUCUAUCUACACAUUGACUUACUUUAAACAUGAGUAAGACACUAAAUUUUAGAGAUUUUAAAGAUUGUAUUUUAAAAAAAAUGAUAACAUCAACAACAGAUAAAAGGAAAAAAGAAAAAUAUGGAGAUUAAAUAGAUACCUGACCCUUGACUUUGAGAAAUAUUAUCGAUUCAUCAUCUACCUUUUUUUUUCUUUCUCUUUUGUAGAACACAACAUUCUUCCUCCUUCUCCUCCCCCCCCUCCCUUCUCUCUCUCUCUCUCUCUCUCUCUCUCUCUCUCUCUCUCUCGCAACUACAACACAAUUUAUAAUAACUUCUAUUUUAAGCUAUUCUUUUAAUUUGAAACGACUGGUGACGUCAUUGUUAAGAAAAGUAAUGGAAGUAGCACGAGAUGAAUGCAUUUUCUACGUUAUAGUCAAGAGAAGUAAUGGGAGUAACACGAGAUUCGUGCAUUUUCUACCUCAUAGUUAAGGAAAGUAAUGAAAGUAAUACGAGAUGAGUGCAUUUUCCACGUCAUAGUCAAGAAAAGUAAUGGAAGUAACGCGAGAUCAGUGCAUUUUCUUUUUUGUCGUUGCUUAAAUUAAAGUCCUCAAUUUCAAAAUAGAUUAUGAAAUAUAAAUUACAUUAGAAGUCCCUAAGACUAUAUUUGGUUCGGGAACAAGGUGGGCAAUAAGCCCUUGCUCCCUCCUUUGUUCCCAAAUACUUUUUUUGGUACCCGAAAACAGUAGUUUUUAAAUUUUUGGAAUAAACUGGUAUAAGGCUGGAACUGCUGUUCCAUUCUCUUCCCUGAAACAAGCUUGUUAAUUUCUAAGUGGGAACAAGAUUAAUUAAAGUCUAAAUUUAAUUUUAAUUAUAGUAUUAAAUCAUUAAUUAAUCUAAUUAAUAUAUUUAAAUUAUUAUUUAUUACUUAAAUAAAUAAAAUAAAUAAAUAAUUAAUUAUAAUUAAUUAUUAAUAAUUUAAUGUAUUUAUCCAUAAAUUAAUAUUUAUAUUGAUCAACCAUUAGAAUUUCUAUUAAUCUAAUUAAUUAAUUUUUACUAGUUAUCUAGCUAAAAUAAUUUACUAACUAAUUAAAAAGUUAAAUUAUUUUUUAUAUUUAAUUAAUUAAUUUGUAUAUUUUCAUUAUCUUCUACAAUAUUCAUAGCUAAUAAAUUUAUUAAUUUAUUAAAUUAUUUUUAAGUAAUAUUUUGAUGUUAAUUAAUUAGAUAAAAUAAUUUUAAUUUAAAAUUAUAACUCUUAUUCCUCUUGUUUCAAUCUAAGCAUCCAAAUACUAUUUACCUUAUUCCUAAUAACAACCGAAUUUCCAUCCAAACGCAAAAUUAGUUCUUACCUAUACCUGAACUUGUAUCUAUCUCUGAAAUAAGUAGUUCUUACUUAUACCCGAACCAAACGUAGCCUCAAAUUUGAACCAAUUUUAAUUCUAGCCUGCAAAUUUUUAAGUUCGACUUUCCUUGAACUUUCAAUAUAUUUCGUUUUGGUAGAAAGUUAUCACUUGUGCCCCAUUUAUUCGCCUUUUUUUACACUAAGAGUUUUGUUGGUUUUUUUUGUCACGCCUCAGAUUGCAUCGAAAUCCGGACUACUCAAUAGAUCCAUCGCAUAUGCAAAAAGCCCCAUAUAUGUAAAGCAAUAAAAGUACCUUUAUACAAUACAAGAGGCUACCACAAAAAAAAACAGAGUUAAAAUAAAAUUACUAACAACUAAAAUAUAAUCCACUGUACAUAUAUAAUUCCAAAAUAAUAAAUCUUCAAAAUAUACAAAAGUAUGUAUGUACAAA
rnacentral:lncRNA from 1 species